AUGAACGCUGGCGGCGUGCCUCAUCCAUGCAAGUCGCGCGAACAGACGAGGAGCUUGCUCCUCUGACGUUAGCGGCGGACGGGUGAGUAACACGUGGAUAACCUACCUAUAAGACUGGGAUAACUUCGGGAAACCGGAGCUAAUACCGGAUAAUAUAUUGAACCGCAUGGUUCAAUAGUGAAAGACGGUUUUGCUGUCACUUAUAGAUGGAUCCGCACCGCAUUAGCUAGUUGGUAAGGUAACGGCUUACCAAGGCAACGAUGCGUAGCCGACCUGAGAGGGUGAUCGGCCACACUGGAACUGAGACACGGUCCAGACUCCUACGGGAGGCAGCAGUAGGGAAUCUUCCGCAAUGGGCGAAAGCCUGACGGAGCAACGCCGCGUGAGUGAUGAAGGUCUUCGGAUCGUAAAACUCUGUUAUUAGGGAAGAACAAAUGUGUAAGUAACUAUGCACGUCUUGACGGUACCUAAUCAGAAAGCCACGGCUAACUACGUG
rnacentral:rRNA from 1 species